UACGUAGGCAGCAAGCGUUGUUCGGAAUUACUGGGCGUAAAGAGUGUGUAGGCGGUGCUCCAAGUCUGGUGUGAAAUCUCCCGGCUUAACUGGGAGGGUGCAUUAGAAACUGGAAUGCUAGAGGCUGGGAGAGGUAAGCGGAAUUCCUGGUGUAGCGGUGAAAUGCGUAGAUAUCAGGAGGAACACCUGUGGUGUAGGCAGCUUACUGGACCAUUUCUGACGCUGAGACACGAAAGCGAGGGUAGCAAACAGG
rnacentral:rRNA from 1 species